GGAGGAACUCAGGCGGAGGAAAGAGCCGGAACACAAACACAGCGCGACCUUUCCCGGGAAGCAGCCCCUCCAGGAAUGCGCCCCGGGCCCCCCUGCAGCGCCCUGGGCCCCCAUGGCCAGGGGCAGAUCCCCUCACUUCCACCAUCCGUGACUCGGUUCAGUCCAGUUGAGCCCCAAAAGCCUCUGCUGAGCCCAGCCCGGAAGGGCGAGGGAGCCUCGGUGGCCAGAGAGGGCCGAGGCCUGUCAGGCUGACGGCUCCUUCGGGACAGGCACCCAUCUGUGACGGGGACAUGCAGGGACCACUGUGGCUGCCCUGGCCCAAGAUGCCCCAGAAGCCAGAAUGGAAAGAUAACUCCGCCUUCCUGCUGACGUGAGGUUCAGGUUGGUUUCUCAUCAUCGGUUGGGGGCUGAAUGACACACGCGGCUGCCGUCAUGAUGUGUGUGUGGUGAUGCUGCCACGGGCGUCACCCCGUAAGCAGCAGCUCCGAUCAAUUCUCCUUUGCGAGGUGACCACCAAAGGAGCGCAGAGCUGGCCGGGCAUUCGUGCGUGUUCAUGACCAAGAACUUUUCACAGAGAGAGAGAGGACUUCUGUCCUGACGAAGGGGCGCAGAGCUGGCCGGGGCAUUCGUGCGUGUUCACGACCGAGAACUUUUCACAGAGAGAGAGAGGACUUCUGUCCUGAUGAAGGAGCGCAGAGCUGGCCGGGGGCAUUCGUACAUGUUCAUGACCGAGAACUUUUCACACAGAGAGAGGACUUCUGACCUGACAAAGGAGCGCAGAGCUGGCCGGGGCAUUCGUGCGUGUUCACGACCGAGAACUUUUCACAGAGAGAGGACUUCUGUCCUGAUAGACGUCGGUGAGGACUGAAUCCCCACUUACAGGCGUGCACAUCAGGGACUGAUGGACAUCGCUGAGGACCGAUCCCAGCUUACAGGCGUGCACACUGGAGGCUCGGAAGAGCUGACUGUGACUCACUUCCGGCUUCCCCCCAGGACAAAACCUGCCUCUCCUUCCAGACUCGCUGACUUCCCUUCAUGUCCCGCUGUGAUGUGCAGUCCAGCAUCCUUGGGUCAUGACACCAGCUGCACUGGCACAGGGAAUGAGAGAAUAUUCCUGAAAAUGAAGACUACCGCGGAAGGCAGGAGCUUCUAAGCUAGAGUGACUGGCAGCUUCAACAGGCCCUGCUGCACCUGAACCAGCCCGGGGCCCCCCAGUGCCGCGGAAAGAGACAGCUGUGGCAGAUUUCACAAACUCAUGCCCAGGGGAGCUCCCGGCUUGCUCAUGGCAAGGACCACACAGGGGCAUCUUAGGGUCCGCGGGAGGCAGCGGAACUGUGGAGUCCCAGGGCACAUUGUCUCCAGCUUCGCCAGCUGGGCCAUUGCUCUCCAACGCCAGCACCCAUGGGUACUUCCUGAUGCACCUCAUCCUACCCACGUUACUGUCAGAGUGAGGAAUGCGCUCAGCCUCAGGCCCUGAGAUUGUCCUCUCCUUACUCAGCUUCUCUUUCUGUCCUUGCAGCAUCCGGUUCGCCUCUUCCCCCAACUGCCUUUUCGCAUCCUCUGCCUUCUCUUCCCUGCAGUUGUCUGUGUCUACAUCAUUGGCAGGAGUUCCUCGUGCACUCUGCAUGCUGAAACCGUGCAGAUGGACACAUGGCAGGGCUUUCCCUCCCGUCUGGCUUGCCUCCUGCCUCUGUUAAAGACAUGACGUGACUCUUCAGCAGCUUUUGAACUUGCCUCUAGGUCACAAAGGGAUUGUCUCAUCGUUUCUACUACAUAUUUUUAAAGUUUUGCUUUUCAUAUGAAUCCUUUUAAUCUGUCCGGAAUCAACUGUGUGCCGUGUGAGGUAGGAAAAUAAAUGGAUAUGUCCUUUUCGU
rnacentral:lncRNA from 1 species